rnacentral:tRNA from 1 species
ACCGUGAUAGCUCAGUGGUAGAGCAUCGAACGCAUAAUUUGAAGGUCGUAGGUUCGAUUCCUGUUCACGGCA